rnacentral:rRNA from 1 species
AUUGAACGCUGGCGGCAGGCUUAACACAUGCAAGUCGAGCGGAGAUGAGGUGCUUGCACCCUAUCUUAGCGGCGGACGGGUGAGUAAUGCUUAGGAAUCUGCCUAUUAGUGGGGGACAACAUUCCGAAAGGAAUGCUAAUACCGCAUACGUCCUACGGGAGAAAGCAGGGGAUGUUCGGACCUUGCGCUAGUAGAUGAGCCUAAGUCGGAUUAGCUAGUUGGUGGGGUAAAGGCCUACCAAGGCGACGAUCUGUAGCGGGUCUGAGAGGAUGAUCCACCACACUGGGACUGAGACACGGCCCAGACUCCUACGGGAGGCAGCAGUGGGGAAUAUUGGACAAUGGGGGGAACCCUGAUCCAGCCAUGCCGCGUGUGUGAAGAAGGCCUUAUGGUUGUAAAGCACUUUAAGCGAGGAGGAGGCUACUGAGACUAAUACUCUUGGAUAGUGGACGUUACUCGCAGAAUAAGCACCGGCUAACUCUGUGCCAGCAGCCGCGGUAAGAC